CGAAGGUGCAAGCGUUAAUCGGAAUUACUGGGCGUAAAGCGCGCGUAGGUGGUUCGUUAAGUUGGAUGUGAAAGCCCCGGGCUCAACCUGGGAACUGCAUCCAAAACUGGCGAGCUAGAGUACGGUAGAGGGUGGUGGAAUUUCCUGUGUAGCGGUGAAAUGCGUAGAUAUAGGAAGGAACACCAGUGGCGAAGGCGACCACCUGGACUGAUACUGACACUGAGGUGCGAAAGCGUGGGGAGCAAACAGGAUU
rnacentral:rRNA from 1 species